AAAGUUACUUGUAUGUUAGUGUCGUAAUUCAAGAAACUAAACAAAAAUUACUUGGUAGGAUUUUGCAGUGCAUUUGCAGCACAGAUUAGGCAACCUCAAAAAAGUUCAAAUGUCCUAAACAGCUGCUACCAAAUCUACCGUCCACUGUUUUUCACAUACAACCAUAAACAUCCUUGAUUUUCAAACCAAAACUACCUAACCCACAAACCUGAGGACAAAAAGGGUUCUCCGUAUCUAGGUAGUAUUCGCUCCGCAUCUUCUCAUAACUUCCACCCGAACUCUUCCGGCCAAACAUGAUGGCAAUUUUAGCCAAGUGCACCAGCAUCCAGGAACCUUGUGCGGCAUCCUAUGACCGACACAACCUUGCCUGAGCUCCGAUGCUUCCCGGAGACCCCCACCCUUUCGCCCUUUCCCAACCUUUACAGGACGAUGAAGCCCCCUCCCCUUCUUUGGUUUGUGCCCUGGGCAUGCAGUGGCCAAAGCAGACGUGUGAACUGUGAAUGAGGCAGACCGACUCCGUGGGCCAACAAGAGGACAGAGCGGCUUUUUAGUACGGCUAACGCUAAGCGGCGGACAGCAGGUGGGUCACAUGAAUACCUCAUUUAGAAAGUGUGAGAGAAGUUAGAGGAGGGGGGUUCAGAAGAGAGUAGGCUGAGUGAUGAGGGAGGGAUGUUGUCAAGAAAAAAAGCAAAUAGAAAAUAACCAAAACUGGAAAAGAAGAAAAGAACAAAACCGGAAAAAGAAAAAAUAUAUACCUUCGUAGAAUAAUGAGCACAAACAUGGUGAGAAAACAAGAGGGAAGGAUUGGGGAAAAGGUGGACUCUGAGCUCUCCUCCUUAAUCUGUGUUGAAUCAAUACCCCUACUGUAAUAGAGCCACCCAAAUCCUGGUCCCUUGCUUCAAUGCCACAAAGGGCCAAGUCACGGCAUGUGGUGGCCUCUUUCACACAAGGCUGUGGGUCUAAAAAGAAGAUCAUACUCAGGGUUGGGGGCCAGCGGGUGGGAGUGAUCAGUGGGAAUCCAGAAGCUACACUUUGCUGAUUCUGCAAUGCAAGGUGCUCUGGAACGUUGUUUUUAAUGCUAAGUGCCUGAUUAGUUUAAAAGAUAGUGGUUGUACAGCUAUAAGUAUUCUCGAAACAUUUUUAUUUGGAGCAGAAAUCAAGUUUGAGCUUUGUGUUUACAGGGUGUCAAAUUUGCUACAACAAAGAUUCUCUUUUUGGAUGAGCUAUGGCAAGAAAAUAUCCAAAGGUUACUUCAGAUGCAUAGUGACAUAUGGUGAAGUCAUCUUGUUGAAUAGAGGAAGCAAAAGGCCUCUACAGACCACAGCUUAGCGUCCAGUUUUCCUGCAGAAAUCACUGAUGUAAAAAGCUUGUAGUUUGUGUAUUUACAUAUCCUAACAUAAUACAUUUGAAACAAACAAGUCUUUUAAUUACUACUUUAACUAUAUUUUAAUGGGACAGCCUUGCCUUUACACCUUAAACAGUUCCUUUCUAAAGUCAACAGAAAAAUUAUUUAGUUGUACAAAUAACAUUUUAGAUUUCUGACAGACAGAAAUCUAAAAAGUAUGACAUGCAUAUGUAUUUUGUAACUCUUGAGUCCAAACUUCUUACUGAAAAGUUUUCAGAACCAGCAACAAGAACUGUGAGGGUUUGGGGUUUUCUCUACCAGCUCUGCACAUUUAGAGACUGAACAUUUCUUCCUUUGUUCUUCUUUUUUCUGAACAGCAAUUUUUAAAUUCUGUCAUAGAUUCUUAAUUGGGUUUCACAUCUGGACUUUGGGAAGGCCAUUCUAACACGAAUGUGCAUUAAUCUAAACUAUUGCAUCCAUUGUAAUUGUAUGUUUAUGGUUACUUUCCUGUUCUCCAGGCUUAAGUGUCUUGCAACCUUUAACAGGUGUUCUUCCAAAAUUUCCACUCAUCAAUGAACACCAACGUAUUUACAACAUGUGGAACAUCUGAAGGCAGUUAGUUUAUUUAGGGUUGGAGGGGGGCUACAAAUGCAUGGCACACUUUUCAGAUUUUGUUUUUUCACAGUUUGCACAACUUACAAUACAAAUAUUUUGUUACUGGAACAUGACAGAAUGUGAAAAGGAAUUAUUUUAUAAGGCACUGCAUACUACAAGAUUGCUGUAGUAAAGAUUCCUACUCAGUCUAUUGCUUCAAGUUCUAGGUUUUACCAGUUGGCAUGAGGACCUAGCAGGAAUGAUUGAUGUUACAUUUUACUGUAAUCAGCCAGAGGCACCCAGGCUGUCAGGCCACAACCUGCAUCUGACGUCUCAGCGAGUCGAGGCCAAUCCGAGGACGUCUGUGCUCGGCAGAAAAAGGAUGAUGUCAUUUCUUUCAGCGCCGGCGGGCAGCACCGGCGCUGUAGCGCUACAAUGGUGCUGAGCUUUUCGGGAUGCAGGCUCAUUUCAAAACAGACUGCUUCAAUCACACAGAGCCAGACACCGGAGGUGUAAACACCAAAACUUUAAUCCACCUCACUGCUGAACGGGCCAAAAUAUUUUAAACUGCUUUAGCAGAUUUGGAUAGUUUGUGGGGUUUUUUCAAUUAUACAAAUGCAGACGUUUUUGUUAACUCUUGUAUAAACAGAAAUGCAACUACUUGUCUUUGUCUUUCUGACGAUACAGACGUAGCAUGUCAACUAAGGCUGAAACAAUUAAUUGGAUUAAUCAUGAUUAAUUGAUUACUGAAAUAAUAUUUAUCUAAUUUAGUAAGUGAUUAAUCGUUAACUGGACAAUACAGACACAAAAAGGGCAUUUGGUGUAUAUUCAGAGCAGUAAUUAUGCCAAAAAUAUAGGUAUUUAUAGGUAUAUAGGUAACAAAGGUAUUUUUAAAAAUAUAAAAAUACCUUUGUCUGUAAAUGUGUUAUAGCUUCACUUAGUUCUGCUUUACAAAAUGAAUCCAAGAAAAUUUGUAUUUUCUUAUUUAAAAAAUACGUACAUAUUUGCAUCUUUUAAAGUGUUUCUAUUGUAUAAAAAUCGAUAGGUGGUUAAAUGAAAAAUGUGUAGAUUGUGACAUUUUUUUAGCCAAUUAAUCGUUUGAAUAUUCAAUUAUUAAAUGUCAACACAAAAGGUCUUCCUUUAAACCGUAUCUGUUCAAUGUCUCCGUUUUAGGCAAAAAUCUUUUCCUUUUAUUGCAAUUACUUUGGUCUCAGUUCCCAAACUUUAUGUAAGACUUGUAGAUGAAUUCCUAUCAAUCCCAAAAGUAUUGAUGUCAAUACAAAAAAAAGUGAAACGCAAAAAUAACAUUUGAAAACGGUGCUUGGCAAACAACACAAUCAGUGCUUGGCCCAGGUCUGUUGUUGGCUUGUGGACUUUGGUCAAGGACAAUCUGAGGACAGCGAACACACACGCUGCCUUAUUUUUCUGUCAGAUGUCUGAUUUAAGACCGGACAGCAGAAUUAAAACCAGUGGGUCAGGGAUGGGGGAGCGCACACACUGUCACACAUUUUCACACAACUAUUACUAUCUAGUUACUAGAGCUGGUUUCCAUGACAACAGACAGGGAGGGUGAAGGAGAGAGAAUGAAAGAGGGACAUAGAAGGAAAGAAAGAGAGCACUCCCCCCUCCUCACACACCUUAAUAACAGAAUAUUGAGUCACAUCUGAGAAUGAUGCAUUAACAAAUGAAGGAGGGCAAGAAAUGAGAAAAGUGGGGAGGGAGGUGAUAAUUUGAGGUGUUGCACAAGCAGA